CACGUAGGGCGCAAGCGUUGUCCGGAAUUAUUGGGCGUAAAGAGCUCGUAGGCGGUCUGUUACGUCUGCUGUGAAAACCCAGGGCUUAACCCUGGGCUUGCAGUGGAUACGGGCAGACUAGAGGCAGGUAGGGGAGAAUGGAAUUCCCGGUGUAGCGGUGAAAUGCGCAGAUAUCGGGAGGAACACCGGUGGCGAAGGCGGCUCACUGGCCAGUUUCUGACGCUGUAGCGCGAAAGCGUGGGGAUCAAACAGG
rnacentral:rRNA from 1 species